rnacentral:rRNA from 1 species
UACGGGGGGAGCAAGCGUUGUUCGGAUUUAUUGGGCGUAAAGGGCUCGUAGGCGGCCUGUCGCGUCGGGAGUGAAAGCCCACUGCUUAACGGUGGGUCUGCUUCCGGUACGGGCGGGCUAGAGUAUGGCAGGGGAGACUGGAAUUCCUGGUGUAGCGGUGGAAUGCGCAGAUAUCAGGAGGAACACCGGUGGCGAAGGCGGGUCUCUGGGCCAUUACUGACGCUGAGGAGCGAAAGCGUGGGGAGCGAACAGG